UGAGGAAUAUUGGUCAACGGGCGAGAGCCUGAACCAGCCAAGUCGCGUGAAGGAAGACAGUCCUAAGUAUUGUAAACUUCUUUUAUACGGGUAUAACGGGCGAUACGCGUAUUGCAUUGAAUGUACCGUAAGAAUAAGCAUCGGCUAACUUCGUGCCAGCAGCCGCGGUAAUACGGAGGAUGCGAGCGUUAUCCGGAUUUAUUGGGUCUAAAGGGUGCGUAGGUUGUUCGGUAAGUCAGCGGUGAAACCUGGGCGCUCAACGUUCAGCCUGCCGUUGAAACUGCCGGGCGUGAGUUCAGUGGCGGAAGGCGGAAUUCGUGGAGUAGCGGUGAAAUGCAUAGAUAUCACGAGGAACUCCGAUUGCGAAGGCAGCUGGCCAUACUGCGACUGACACUGAAGCACGAAGGCGUGGGUAUCAAACAGG
rnacentral:rRNA from 1 species